GAUGCAAGUAGAUCUUUGUCCUUCCUGCUUGGUGGAGAUGAAUUGGGGCACUGUUCCUGAGCCAGUGGCCUCUGUGAACACUGGAACACUGCCUGGGUGUCCACCCUCAUGUGGAGAAGCCAUGGGGACAGCUGCAGAAGAGAGUACCCACCUGGGCAGGUCGCUUGGAAAGGGUCCUGACCCACCCACCAUGUCAAGCAAUUAUUUUUCUGGACAGCUUCCUGAUGUCCCCAAGGAGAGAGAGAGCGUGACAGCCAGUGAGGGAAAGCAUGCCACAGGUCCCGCCUGCUAACCUGGCAGGAGGGUGCUUGCAACACCUAAUUUAUCAACGCUUGUUUUCCCUGCUGGAGCCAAGUACACAAAAUCACUCCGCCAACAGAGAAAGAGAAAGGGGAAGCCAUUCUUCACCUUUUUCAGUAAUGUAUUUUUGUUUUGGUCAAUUUCCCAGAUAAAUUAUGGUCUUGUCUCAUUGCUGCAUUGGUGGAAUUCUUGCUAGUGUUAUUUAGUACAUUUUAAAGCUGUGUGAAACCAAAAGGUACUUAAAAAAAAAAAAAAAAGGAAAGUUAACCAAAUUGAAGGGUAAAUUUUUUACAUUGUUCCACUGGCUCCAGUUGGAGCUUAAUCAUCACGACCCUUCCUUCAGUCCACAGCGCCUGCUUCAAGAUGCAGCAGAAGUCAAAAUUGCAAGAGUCUGGAUGUUUUGCUUUCGUGUAACUCAUUAGGCAUUUCCCCCUGUGCUAUGAUAAAUGUCUCUCUCAACCAGAAAUUUUAUCUCACCUGUGUAUGUCCCUAUUUCACUCUGCGGAAUCACUCUCAGGAAAUACAAGCUAAUGAUGUCUGUGGUUCUGAAAUUUCCUUGUUAUUAUUUGUUUAAGACAUUUUUUAAAAAAACCUGUGGACAGCUUAUUAAAAGGAUGCUGAGCAAUGAAAACAUUAUUAGACCAUAUUAUUGUUUAUUGUACCCAGAUGUCGUGCAUUUUACACAUCCCAAAGGAUUAGUAGUAAUGUUGGAUACCAAAAUCUUACUUUUCCUUGCAGAUAUUGAGACUAAAUUUUUCUCAUUAAAAACAAAACAUUUACACUGAACAAAUGGUGCGUGUCCGGGUGAAGCAUCAGGUCUCAAGAAGGCAACACUGCUCAAACGAGACUUAGGACAGAACUGGAGACCAAAACAAAGCUGAGGCUACUGUUGGAAAUACUGGUCUAAAAAAAGGAAGAGUGUGGUAUGCUUGUUUUUUAGUUUUAUAGAAUUUUCCAUUUGGAAAGGAGAGAAAUGCAUACAUCCAAGCUGAAAUAAACCAUUCUAGCAAACAUGCCGAGGAAUAAUUUUCAAGAAUGUUUUGUUUUUAAUGAAAAGGAAAGCAAAUCAAAGAAAACCUGGGUAAGUGUUAAAGAGUACUAAAUUUAUAGUAAGGUUCAGGCAAUCUGCCCACUGCAAUCAGAAAGGUUUGGGCUGUUAGUCAUUUAAGACACACAAUGGGAAAAUAAACAAAGAAGGAGGAAGGGGGAAUGGUAAACUGUAGUUUGGCAGCAAAAUUAGUCCAGCUAGUUCCAUUACAUAUUAAACCAUGUCACAAAGCAAAUAAUUGAAAUAAUGAGGAGCUCAUUUUUUAAAAGAUAUAUAGAGUAGCAUAACAGAAUCAACAAAAAUAAGACUGUUUUAUAUAACAAUUCAAUAGACAAUAAAUAAGCACUCCAUUUGGGGAAAAGAAUCACACAAUAAAUGAUGCUGGGAUGGCUUGUGAGUAAUUUGGAGAAAACUGAUCUAGAAUGAGAGCGAGUAUUCCACAUUCGCCACUCUCUUGUCUUUUGGCUUUCUAUCACCUUGGCCAAUGGAGGAAGACAGCAAAAAACAGGAAGGAGGAAGAGUAUGAAGGGAGUCAUUUCUCCCCGGCACUCCAUGCCAGGUUGCUCCAGAAGGCUGUGUCUCUGUCCUAAGGGCUACAGCUUGGCUUGGGCAGUCUUUCCAUACAACUCUCCAGGUUCGGGAAAUUGCUUACUCAUCUGCCCCUGCAAGUGCAGGGAUGACAAUCACUUCCAGCUGAGCUGAGCCCAGCAUGCUGCAUCAUUCUUUGUUGAUGUCCCUCAACUCCGCUGGCGCUAUCUUGAUUAUCCUUAGGCUUACCUCAGUUCCCCAGUCCUAGUGGGCCUUCUGGUUCCUCCUGGGGCACUGACUGAUCCAGGUGCCCUGGGGUUCAGUCGCUAAGUUUCAGCUUCCUAUGUGAUGGGGUUUGGUUCUGUCCUUGUCUAAAUCUCAUGUUGAAUUGUAAUCCCCAGUGCUGGAGGUGGGGCCUGGUGAGAGGUGACUGGAUCAUGGGGUGGAUUUCUCACGAAUAGUUUAGUGCCGUUCCGUUGGUGCUAUCCUCAUGAUAGUGAGUGAGUUCUUGCAAAAUCUGGUCAUUUAAAAGUGCUCCUGCUUUUGCCAUGUGAUGUGUGACAUGCGUACUCCCGCUUCACCUUCCACCACGAUUGUAAGUUUCCUGAGGCUUCCCCAGAAACUGAGCAGAUGCCAGUAUCAUGCUUCCUGUACAGCCUGAGGAUCCAUGAGCCAAUUAAACCUCUUUUCUCUAUAAAUUAUCCAGUCUCAGGUAUUUUUUAUAGCAAUGCAAGAACAGCCUAAUACUGUGCAAUUUCAGAAUCCCAAGUUUCUCUAUUUACCCAAGACCGGGGGGUGCUCCCGCGGCCUGAUUCAUGCUCACAGACAUGCAAA
rnacentral:lncRNA from 1 species